AACGCCUAUUGACAAGUAUAAAAUAUAGUCGAUCAAAAUAAUGAAUUAAUUUUGACUUUCGAAUAUUUUACUUUUUAAAUAUAACAUAUUAUUCGUACGAAUAAAAUAUAUAAAAGCUUUUAGACAAAGCUGACACGAGCAAAAACAUUCGUUCAGGUUAAUUUAAUAUAACUAUCGAGAAAAAUGUUCGGUGCACUGUACGGUUAUGUCCAAUCGAAAUAUAUCGAACUGAAUGCUACCGUACUGAAAUAUAUCGAAUUGAACGUACUGAAGAGUGAAAUCGAAUCGCGUUAGAUUAAAACACAUAAUGGCGUCGGAUCGAAUUGUAUAGUAUCGAAUUGUGGGUAAUUGAACUGCGUCAAAUUGAUUCACAUGGAAUUGAAUCGUGUUAGAUUAAAUUAUGCAGAAUUGAAUCGCGUGUAACUAAAUCCGAUCGAAAUGAAUCGCUCGCUUAGUUUAAACGCACCCUUACCGAACGAAACGGCAAAUUUGAACGCAGUAACUUCAUCGUUCUCACCGUCGAGUGUUUCUUGGUACGGUAUUCUUACUAUCAAAUGUUAAACCGCAUUUCCAUGUUCGUUUUGCAAUCCAUUACAAAGGCCGGCUUGUUAGGUGCCAUGACAUAUACGACAUGCUCGAUUUUACACUCUGACGCUUGUGGUCGAUCAAACCGCAAACAUUUUUCGCGCCUCACAGAGACGAGUAACUUCUCGCAACACGAUUGAUCUUCUGAGAAACAUACCAGAUCGCCAGAAACUUUCUACAAACAGGUGCAGACGACGAAAGGCACAUCAUACAUUCGAGACAUGUACUGGGCGUCUCUGAACACCAUACACGAUUGGUAAAGAAUAAAUUGAAAACUUUCUAAUGAUCUUUGAUUUUGAGAAUAUGAACGGAAAGAUGGCUGUAGUAGUGGUACAGGUCCAUUAGAUGUCUAAAAGGACUUUCGAAAUUACGGAGAGGUUGCUAUGAAUUUUGGAAAGAAGUCCCAGAUCCUCGUUGAAUCGAUGAAGACUCUUCACGGUAUCGAAAUCGGCGCAAAAAUAGAAAACAAGAGCAUAAUAAUGGGAUACUCUGCGACUGCAUUACUAUUUCUGACUACGGGUUCGGAUGGAACCCGGACGAUGAAUAAUGCAUGAUGCGCGAUAGACGCGCUACCAGAGAUCGAGUUUUGUGAACAUCGAACUGUCUUUGAUGGAUCUCCGUGUCUUAAUUUUUCUCCACGGGGUAAAUCGUCCGCGUGAAAUGUAAAUUAAUGGUGGAGACUUUCGGACGAAUGGUUAAGAUUUUCACGGCGACUCAAAAGCAUCAGGGCGAUAUCUUCAUUUUUAAAGGUCAAAUUGGACGGUCCCCGAGGGACUAUGGGGGCCGUUCUCCGGAUCCAUCGAGCAACAGGUUUAACAGAUCGCUCAAUGAAUAGUUGAUAAUAGUGUCCAUUGUGGGCCGCGUGUCGAGGGACGUUCCAUCUAACAAAUGGCCCAUUGUUAUCUCUUACGGCUGUUCGGUUUUUCUCUCCCUCGUUUUGUCCUUGUUGCACUGUGCGGUGCACGAAACGGGCGUGUGUACAGGGUAAUUCAGAAAAGAGAAACGAUCAUUCACGCCGGGAACUGUUAUUACUCGGUUUCGAGCUCGAUUGAAAAAUAUGCCCCGUUUAUAAUGGCGCUCUACGCCGGCGAAACGGCUCCGGGCGUUUCGUUAGCUUAAAGAGAACCGCGUAUACAGAGAUAAUAUUCUUUUCCGUGAGGGUAACAGAAUCGUAUAAUAACACGUUGAACUGUUAUUUUUUUUGCAGAUCAGGAUCAUGAUUUCGCGUCGUUCUCUUUUUUCUCCGCGUGGCGUAAGUGGCGACGAGAAAAGAAAAGGUGGAGUUGGAGAUAAUCGAUUUCACGGGUAUCGGAAUCUCUUGCGGGGUAAUAAAUUUUUAAAGGCUCGGUAUACGUGUCGGGUUUCUAAUAGCCAAGCGAAAUUAAAGGAUAUAUUCGAUAAACGUUGCAGGAGAAUCGAGCUGUAUAUUAUACAGUAUGCCGUGGAAAGCUGCUGCACCGAUACAACGAAUACAAUUGAUCCAAACGUGUAUUAUACGCUGCUCACGAACGGGGAAGCAAGCCUCGCAGAACCGUCCUCUGAGAGAGAGAGAGAGAGAGCAGCCAGUGCCGGUUUAUUCCCGAUCGAAUGUUUUUGCUCGACCGUCGCAAACCUAAUUGGAUUCGCUACAAAGCACGAGCAGUCGUAUGUACAACGAGCAUUACGCAAAAUCAUGUAGUCCUCAGCUUUUUAAACGUUGAUUCAUCGACUGGUCUCGUGUUUGAAGCUGCAUCGCAGAGCGUCACGUUCGAUUGGUCCUGCGGUACGGAAUCGAAUUUGCAAUUGGUUAAGGAGACCUCGGACGAUCGAUAUACAGGGUGUUACGUUUACGGUAGCUCGUAAGCUUGCACUUUUGAAUAUAGGAUCGUUACUCCCAGAAGCAUAAUUAGAUCGUUCCCAUAAAUUUCAUUGCCGUAUCUUUUAAAUUGACCGAUAGUUGGUAAAUCAGGUUAGGUCAAAUACGGUCAACUAACCUGAUCUGACCCUAACUCUAAUCGUCAGUUAAUUCAUGAUGGCAUUCCUGAAGACCGUAUAGUGGAGGGAUCAUUUUAUGUCUAAUUACUAAAAAGUGAUCAGUAUAUAUUAUCCUGAAUAUUAUACGUUAUAAUAGGUAUAUAUUAUAGAAGAUAAUCAUAUAUAAGCUAAGAGAUAAUGAAUUUUAUUUCGUCGUAUUAAAAUGAAGAUCAAUAUAUUGAUCGCUUGGAUUAAACUUAAAGCUGCUCAUCACAAUUUUCCCUUAACGCAGCAGUCUGCUAAAAAGGAUUAUUCUUGCUUGCUGUUUAGACGUAAUUACUUUACAGUAAUUAGGUGGAUUUCGUUCGUUUUAUUUGUAACGCGAAUUGAAAUUACGAUUCCGUUGAGUUACCACGCUGGUCAAGACAACGUACGCCUUCACGAUGCGUUCGUGUACACACGAUAUCAACUUAUCGCUAUAAUUCUUACCUUGC